rnacentral:rRNA from 1 species
AUGGCGGACGACGAGAAGAACAAGCAGCUGGCGGAGUACUCCGGUGAGGCUAAAGUAAUUGCUGCUCCGGCGAGUUCAUCGUAUCCACGGUUUGAUCGCGAGAACUUCGGGGUCUGGAAGACCCUCAUGGAGUGUGGUCUCCGCGCCAACGAGCUAUGGGACGCGGUGGAUCCCGGAGGCGACGCGUUCAAGAAGGAGGGAGCCGAGCACCGAAAGGAUCGGCAGGCGGCGUCGGCGAUUUACUCGGUGAUGCCGAUGGAUGUCCUCCAGCACCUAAUCGCCAAAGCAACGGCAAAGGAGGUGUGGGAUAUGCUGAAGCUCAUGUUUGAGGGACACACCCGCGUCAAGCAAGCUAAUCUCCAAACUCUCCUAAGGAACUACGAGACUUUGGUCAUGGGGGACGAUGAGUCUGUGGAUGCGUUCGCUUCACGGGUAGUAACUCUUGUCAAUCGGAUUCGUGCGCUUGGAGAAAACCUCACGGAGACCUCGGUUGUCCGGCGGUUCUUGCGCGCGGCCCCUCCCCGGUACCUGCAAAUUGUCACGGCGAUCGAGCAGUGCGUCGAUCUCGCGACUCUCUCCAUUGAUGAUCUCGUCGGACGCUACAAGGCUCACGACGAGCGUAUGCGGUACAGUCUUGGGGACGGGAGGAACGACGAGAUUGUGAUGCUCACAAGGGCGCAGUGGGUCGCUUUGUCAAAGGAAAAGCAAGGCGGAUCCACGAGCAGCAGCAAAAAGAAGGGGAAGCAGCCUUCGGCGAGAAAGAACUUCACCGACUCGGACGACGACUCAGACGAUGAGGCUGCAUCACCACCGAGGAGAAAGUUUGACAUCAGGAAAGUGAGGUGUUAUAACUGUGGCCUCCUCGGUCACUUCAAGGCUGACUGCGAGGAAACACCGAAGGAGAAGGCGCUCAUGGCCCAACAAGGAGAUGAUGGUGACAUGAUGUUAAUGAGUGAACUCGUGGACGAGGAGGAUCCAGACUCUCAAGCGUUGACUAAAGAAAUUGUCAAGCUUGCGGAAGGAAAAGUUUGCCAUCAUGAUCAUGUUUCGGAAACUCGUAUCGAAGCUACAGAUGCGGGGGGUGAUUCCAAAACUUACGACAAUGCUAUGGAAGUAAGUGCUAACUUUGUUGGAGCGGAUGCAACGAAAGCUGCGUGUGCUCGUCCACGGAAAAGUAGCCUUUGCAUGGCGCGUCCGAGAGUGGCCAGCUGCGGCCGAAAGAACAGUUCAGCAAUUCCGAAGAUAGACGAAGGUGUGGCGUCAGAAGUCCAUGACGUACAACGUCUCAGCAUGGUCAAAACAGAGACGGGCCAAGGCACGCAGCGAGUUGCAGUCGGAUCAGACAGCGUGAUGUUAGACAGUCCAGACGCAGCAAGUUACGAUGGAUACGACAUGGCGAGUCAAAACGUUGUGUGCAUCGCAACGAGCGGCAAGCCAGCCAGCUCGCGCGAGCAGGUGGCCGAGACGAGGUGCGAUGGUGUGGCCGGUGCAGCGUAG